rnacentral:rRNA from 1 species
AUGUAUGUGAGGGGCCUUGCCCGCCGCCUCCAUAAAAGCAGAACUCCAGCACUGCUAUUCAAGCUCGACAUCUGCAAGGCGUUUGACUCUGUCAAGUGGGAGUACAUUAUAGACCUUCUGCACCGGAGGGGAUUUCCUCCGCGCUUUCAGGAGUGGAUCACGGCCUUGCUUCGUUCAUCUUCCUCGCGAAUCCUCCUUAACGGGUCCCAGGACCCAUUAUCAGGCAUGGUCGCGGCUUUCGGCAGGGAGAUCCGAUCUCUCCCCUGCUCUUUGUCAUUGCCAUCGAUCCUCUGCAGCAAAUUCGCGACCUCGCGACCCGUCGUGGACUUUUACACAAGCUUAGAGGGCGCCGUGCCAUUCUCCGCACAUCCCUAUAUGCCGACGAUGCUGCGGUCUUCAUGGCCCCUAUUAAGGAAGAUGUGGACAACUUUGCUCAGAUCCUCAACUACUUUGGCAAGGUCACGGGCCUCUGCACAAACUUCCAGAAAAGCUCGGUCGUCCCAAUUCGAUAUAGAGACAUCAACUUCGACCACAUCCUAG